UACGUAGGGUGCAAGCGUUGUCCGGAAUUAUUGGGCGUAAAGAGCUCGUAGGCGGUUUGUCGCGUCUGCUGUGAAAAGCUGGGGCUUAACCCUGGCCUUGCAGUGGAUACGGGCAGACUAGAGGUAGGUAGGGGGAGAAUGGAAUUCCCGGUGUAGCGGUGAAAUGCGCAGAUAUCGGGAGGAACACCGGUGGCGAAGGCGGUUCUCUGGGCCUUACCUGACGCUGAGGAGCGAAAGCGUGGGGAGCGAACAGG
rnacentral:rRNA from 1 species